AAGCAGCAGAACCACUGAGCUAAAUCUCCAGCUCCUGAGUGAGGCUUUUCAAGACCAUUCUUGUAUUGUCUUUCUUCCAAAACAUAAAAUUUGCACACUUAAGAAUGUAUGUUACAUAUGACUCAACGCAUCACCACGUGUGCGCCUGUUUCUUUCCCUUAUGUGAUGACACUUUUGUUGUACACAAGAGGGCAGUAAGGUUGGACCUUACAUUAUCACAAUAACAGAAAAGCUGUCUCACAUCAAUGCUCUGCUUCCCAGCUUCCAUGAACUCGGCAUUUUGCUUUGUUACAUUGUUAUAGCAUGGUGUUUCUGCUUUGGAGGCAGCUGACCAUGGAUUGGUUCCCUUGAAAUCGUUACUCACUUAUUGAGACCAAAAAGAACCUUAGGAACUUGGGAGACUCUUACUGACUUUGAAGAGUAUAGCCUCAAAGAAGCAAGGUUAUGAAGCUUCAUUAGCAAACAGUAUCAUUGCUAAAGAUCAAAGACCACCACAAUGGUUGGAAUAAAAGGACAUGGCAGGCUGGAAGCCAUGUACUACAAAAAGGAACAAGUAUCUGGGAAACAUUACUUUGAGGAUAGACUACUAUUU